rnacentral:rRNA from 1 species
UACGGAGGGUGCAAGCGUUAUCCGGAUUCACUGGGUUUAAAGGGUGCGUAGGCGGGCAGGUAAGUCCGUGGUGAAAUCUCUGAGCUUAACUCAGAAACUGCCAUGGAUACUAUUUGUCUUGAAUAUUGUGGAGGUAAGCGGAAUAUGUCAUGUAGCGGUGAAAUGCUUAGAUAUGACAUAGAACACCAAUUGCGAAGGCAGCUUACUACACAGUUAUUGACGCUGAGGAGCGAAAGCGUGGGGAGCGAACAGG